GCCAGUGUGGUGUAGUGGUUUGGGUGUUAGACUAGGACUCUAGAGAACAGGGUUUGAAUCUCUGCUCAGCCA